rnacentral:rRNA from 2 species
UUCCGGUUGAUCCUGCCGGACCUGACUGCUAUCGGAUUGAUACUAAGCCAUGCGAGUCAUUGUAGCAAUACAAGGCAGACGGCUCAGUAACGCGUAGUCAACCUAACCUAUGGACGGGAAUAACCUCGGGAAACUGAGAAUAAUGCCCGAUAGAACACUAUAUCUGGAAUGGUUUGUGUUCCAAAUGAUUUAUCGCCGUAGGAUGGGACUGCGGCCUAUCAGUUUGUUGGUGAGGUAAUGGCCCACCAAGACUAUUACAGGUACGGGCUCUGAGAGGAGUAGCCCGGAGAUGGGUACUGAGACACGGACCCAGGCCCUAUGGGGCGCAGCAGGCGAGAAAACUUUGCAAUGUGCGAAAGCACGACAAGGUUAAUCCGAGUGGUUUGUGCUAAACGAACCUUUUGUCGGUCCUAGAAACACCGAUAAAUAAGGGGUGGGCAAGUUCUGGUGUCAGCCGCCGCGGUAAAACCAGCACCUCAAGUGGUCAGGAUGAUUAUUGGGCCUAAAGCAUCCGUAGCCGGCGCUAUAAGUUUUCGGUUAAAUCUGUACGCUCAACGUACAGGCUGCCGGGAAUACUGUAGCGCUAGGGAGUGGGAGAGGUAGACGGUACUCGGUAGGAAGGGGUAAAAUCCUUUGAUCUAUUGAUGACCACCUGUGGCGAAGGCGGUCUACCAGAACACGUCCGACGGUGAGGGAUGAAAGCUGGGGGAGCAAACCGGAUUAGAUACCCGGGUAGUCCCAGCUGUAAACUAUGCAAACUCAGUGAUGCAUUGGCUUGUGGCCAAUGCAGUGCUGCAGGGAAGCCGUUAAGUUUGCCGCCUGGGAAGUACGUACGCAAGUAUGAAACUUAAAGGAAUUGGCGGGGGAGCACCACAAGGGGUGAAGCCUGCGGUUCAAUUGGAUUCAACGCCGGA